rnacentral:rRNA from 1 species
UCGAGCGGCGAACGGGUGAGUAACACGUGAGUAAUCUGCCCCAGGCUCUGGGAUAGCCACCGGAAACGGUGAUUAAUACCGGAUACGACAACCGAUUGCAUGAUCUGGUUGUGGAAAGUUUUUCGGCCUGGGAUGUGCUCGCGGCCUAUCAGCUUGUUGGUGAGGUAAUGGCUCACCAAGGCUUCGACGGGUAGCCGGCCUGAGAGGGUGACCGGCCACACUGGGACUGAGACACGGCCCAGACUCCUACGGGAGGCAGCAGUGGGGAAUAUUGGACAAUGGGCGGAAGCCUGAUCCAGCAACGCCGCGUGAGGGAUGACGGCCUUCGGGUUGUAAACCUCUUUCAGCACAGACGAAGCGCAAGUGACGGUAUGUGCAGAAGAAGGACCGGCCAACUACGUGCCAGCAGCCGCGGUAAUACGUAGGGUCCGAGCGUUGUCCGGAAUUAUUGGGCGUAAAGGGCUCGUAGGCGGUCUGUCGCGUCGGGAGUGAAAACCAGGUGCUUAACACCUGGCCUGCUUUCGAUACGGGCAGACUAGAGGUACUCAGGGGAGAAUGGAAUUCCUGGUGUAGCGGUGAAAUGCGCAGAUAUCAGGAGGAACACCGGUGGCGAAGGCGGUUCUCUGGGAGUAUCCUGACGCUGAGGAGCGAAAGUGUGGGGAGCGAACAGGAUUAGAUACCCUGGUAGUCCACACCGUAAACGUUGGGCGCUAGGUGUGGGAUCCAUUCCACGGGUUCCGUGCCGCAGCU